rnacentral:rRNA from 1 species
CUUCCUCUUUCGCUAUCCUCUCCGCCUGCGCUCUGCCCUGAUCGCGGUGAGGUAAGGUGAAGGGAGGGAGCGAACGGAAGGAAGGAAGGAAGGAUCGCAUCGUAAGGGAUAUCUUUGGGAGCUAAGACUAGCGGCCCUACUCCAAGACUGGGGGCUAAGCCAGGCAGCUAACACUAAAGGGGAGCUAAAGCACGCCCUAAUCACCGGCCUUAAUUAGCGGUACUGCCGCAGCAGCGGCUACCACGACAGGGAGGACGAGAAGCGGAGCGAGUGCCGCGACGAGCAGGACCGGGGAGCGUGCCGCAGCGGCGGCGACGGCGACCGGCACCACCAACCCCUGCUCCUCCGCGGCGGCCGGCGGCGACCACGACGACGCCCCUAGUCGCCGCCUCCCCGCCCUCAACUCCUCCCUGGCCUCCUGGAGCGCGAUAUGGCCGCGCACUGCGAGCUGCGGCCGCUCCCGCGCCGCCACCGCAGGUUCCACCGCAAGUACAAGGACUGGUUGAGGCUGGAGUGGAAGCGCGGCGAAACCCUCGCGAAGAAGCGCCCCGUGCGACUGGUCAAGUUGCAGAUGCACGUGCGUCUGGGCCGCCACGCCGACGCCGAGGGGGGAUGCGGAAGGAAGGCCCCGGCGAAGCAGCGCCGGUUCGGCUGCGCCGCGCCCCUGGGCUCGGAGUAGCGACGCCGCGCCGCCGACGAACAGCGGCGCGAUGAGCUGCUGGGCCGGUUGCGGAUGAAGCGCGACGAGAGCGUCGUGACGCAGGGCGAGGUGAGGAAGGGCGCCGAGAUGCUCCGCGAGAAGGGCGGGUUCCGGCGCGUGGUGGUGGCGGAGGGCUCGAUAUAGCUCCACGAGUGGCCGCUCGGGGUCUACGGGCGCGCGAUGCACCGCGCGCCACUGCUGCGGUACGAGGGCCUCCACGGGAAGCUGGCCAAGGCGUAGCCGAGGGUCAAGAAGUGCGACCGGGCGGCGGUGCGGCACGAUCAGCAGGCGCUCGCGGCAGAGACCGCUUUCAAAUCCCUCGGCACGGACGGCCUCAGCGUCCCGAGCACGAUGGGCCUCCUCGUGAUAAAGGGCUGCGAAGAGCUGUACCGGCUGGGGCGGCCGACGUGGGCCAUGUGCGAGUGCGCGCAGUUGACCUGGCUGUCGAAGCUCCCGGUGGGCGUGUGCAUAAGGCGCGGUCUCCACAGCGGCGCCGAGUAGCGGCUCGAUGCGGUCAGGUUGUCGAGGUGGAUACUCGUGUACAAGCGCGCGUUCAAGCGCGGGCUGACGGAACCGGGCGAGUACCGGUAGCGGCUGUGGCAGUAGAAGUUUCUAACUAGCUACGCCACGAGACGUAGUAUCUAUGUGCAUCCUCCAGAUAGGCAACUCUCAACGCGCACGCUCUUCUGCUUUCGUCACAGCAAUAAGAGGCAACUUAGAAGUGUGCCAAGUCUGACCACGAAACGGAGACACGGGAGGUGGCAAGAAGAGGAGGACCAUGAAGAUACAUCUGAAUUCACCGUUGUUGGAUUACGUUUCGCCGUCCACAACGUAGACUACCGAGCAGUCUAGAGCUAGACCAAGUAGAGGGUUUGCUGCGGGGUCGGGGCUCUCCUCGGCGGCGGCGGUGGCCCCUUGCUCUCCUCGGCGGCGGACGUCAACGCCUCCUCGCCUCGACCGGCCCAAACGCCCCCUUCGGCCGCGCCCGCUUCGGCCGUCCUGCCCGACGCCCCUUUGGCCGUUCGGCCCGCCGCCCUCGGCCGCCGGUCCUUCGCCGUCUUCGGCCGGACGCACCCCACCCUCGGCCAGCUCCGUGCUCUCGGCGCGCCUCCGGCCGCGCUCCGACCCCUCGGGCGUCGGCCUCGCCCCCGCGGGUCCGCCGUGUCGCUCCGCCCUGGCGCCCUCGUCGCGCCGUGGCCCGCCUCGUCCGCCACUGCGUCGCGGCGCCCCCGCGCGUGCGCCUCCACGUCCACGGGCGCGCGCGCCGCCUCGUCGCUCCCCGGCUGCUGGUGGUGUCCACGCGGAGGGAGAGGGAGCUCUGAGGUCGAGGGGUCGCCGGUAGGGAGGAAAAGGGGUUCAGGUGCUGGUGACGACGAAGCUCCGGCUCCUCUGGUAGCCCAUCGUCGAUCGAGUCCAGCCCCAGUGUCAGGUUGUUACGUUCCUCGGUUCCUCCCACCAGGUCGGCUCUCUUCCUACAACGCUCUCCCCUACUUCGCCGUCAACGCACCGGCACAACUGGGCUCGACCAACGAUCUCGCCUACCUCACCACCGACGUGCCUAAGGAAUAACCUCCACGGCCAUACGCGCGUACGGAAGAACUAAAACAUGGACGGAGAAAGGACUGUCCUAAGACUGAGACGGAGCCGCAAGAAGAUGAAACACAGACAAGUCUUACUACGUGACUACGUCCAAAGCAUGUGUACGAAAAGAAAAAGGAAGAAGCAUACGGAUAGACACUUAGAACACUCGGUACUAACCGUACGACGACACAUACAGUAAGACAGUGAAUAUAACUAAGAACAACUCCGCGACGACGGUGGAUUAAAAAACUUAACUACGAUCUUUAUUGUUUGAUUAUGUCUCUCUUACAUGUUUAAAUAAUGUGUACUAACUCCCGCUAUUAGAUAUAUAAAGGACGUCAUGGAAGUAUAGGAGACGACGUCGUCUACGUCUACCUCGUGUGGCACCCUAUAGGGGUAGGUGGUGCCAGUGACGGCAGUUCCCGAAGAAGUACCUAGACCCUGCGGUACCUGGACGUCGAGGAGUUCCAAGAACAUGGGGUUGGAGAGCCUGGGGAACUUGCCCCUCCGCCGAAGCGACUACUGCGCGCUGUUCUUCCGUAUGUUGGUCUUUCAGGUUCUUAGACUACGCACUGCUAGUCUACCAGUUUUUUCACUGCAACACACUGCUAGCCUACCAAGAAGUUCGAGGGUCGUACUGCAUGAGAGGUAGAGAACAGAGAAAGCGUGCCGUCCCGUCUCCCUAAACCAGCUCCUGGCGUCGCAGCCGCUGGGUCCAUGUUCGUGCACCGCCGCACCGCCGUUGACCCUACGUGUACUCCGAUGACAAGAAGAUGGCCAAGUGUCGCAGGUACACUGUGGCGGCUCGGGAAGUAAACGCAGGAGGACCCUCUGGUGGUACGUCGUGGUUCCACUCUUAUAUCUACUAUCCUCUUACCCCCUUCUAUAUUUACGGAACUCACUUAUUUAUUUACCUGCUAAGUACCCCGAAGUGAUUACCUAUCGUAGUGUGACAGCGGACUUUAACGAAAUCACAUAUGUGGGUCCCGCGGAUGUACGAGUACAAUCUCAAUUACCUCCUACUUCACACUGGCAUGAUAGAGGAACACAGAUGUUGCUGCACACAGUCAUGACAGAGGAACUGGCCGAGGAAUCCGAGAGGGACACGCCAUCGCCGAGUUAGAGGCGCCACGGCAGCUCCUCCCCGACCCCGCCGGCACAGACCACGCGAGAGCGAUGAGUAGCUGGAACGACAAUGAUGGAGUAGGAACUUCGGUACCCACCGGAGAUUAAAAGGGAAACCUCACAACUUACGUUUGACGUUUUCAUCUCGACCAACCGAUCGACAACUAAACUAGCCCCCUAUCGUAUACUUCACUCAUUUGUCUUUCUUUCACUCAUUUGUCUUUCUUUCACUCGUAGGUUCGUCCUUGACGUUUACGAGAUAAAAUCAGUUUCGUACCCUUACACGUGUUCCCUUUCAGUGGAGAAGUAGGCUCGUCCCCACCGCUCCCUUGUCUUUACCAGCACCACUUUCAGCUAAAUCACGUAGUUCCUAACCUCCAACACUCUAAAAGUUCUCCACUACUUCGUGUUAAACAAUAGCACGGAAUAUUGUAUAUAUCGUCAGCUACUACUCAUGUUCGUAUUCUACCAACCGUUAGAAAUCUCGUACUCUGUAUGGAAACGUCAGACAUUCUCCUAGUUUAUUGUACAAAACAACUGUUCCUA